rnacentral:rRNA from 1 species
UCGAUAACGAACGAGACCUUUUCCACUAACUAGUGAGUUGGUUCGAGAGAACUAGACACUUCUUAGCGGGACUGACUGCGGUUAGCAGUCGGAAGUUGGAGGCAAUAACAGGUCUGUGAUGCCCUUAGAUGUUCUGGGCUGCACGCGCGCUACACUGACAAAGGCAGCGAGUGAACCUGUGCCGAGAGGCAUGGGAAAUCUUGUGAAACUUUGUCGUGCUGGGGAUAGAUCAUUGCAAUUAUUGGUCUUGAACGAGGAAUUCCUAGUAAGCGCAAGUCAUCAGCUUGCGUUGAUUACGUCCCUGCCCUUUGUACACACCGCCCGUCGCUAAUACCGAUUGAAUGGAUA